AUUAUUCUUUGAGUCUGUAUUGUGUCUCAUCUUACAUAUAUGUGGCAGUAGAUCGAGUUUUACUGAGAAUGUUUACUUAACCUUUCUCGAAUGCAUAUGUCAGUCCAUCCUAGCGAGUGCAUAAACGUACAUUGAUGCAUAUGAACUACAUAAUGAUACACUUGGGGCUUAUGCAGUCCAACAACUUGUCAAAAAGUAUGUAACACCAUAGUUUCUACC
rnacentral:lncRNA from 1 species